rnacentral:rRNA from 1 species
GACGAACGCUGGCGGCGUGCUUAACACAUGCAAGUCGAACGGGCCUGUCUUCUUUUUUGGGGGUGGGUUGAGUGGCGAACGGGUGAGUAUCACGUGAGUAACCUGCCCUUCGGUCCUGGAUAACCGCUUGAAAGGGCGGCUAAUACGGGGUGGUCCGGUUGGUCCGCAUGGGCUGGUCGGGAUAGAUUCACUGUUUUUGGUGUUUCGGCGGGGGAUGGGCUCGCGGCCUAUCCGCUUGUUGGUGGGGCUAUGGCCUCCCAAGGCGUUGACGGGUAGCCGGCCUGAGAGGGUGGGCGGCCACAGUGGGACGGAGAUACGGCCCAGACUCCUGCGGGAGGCAGCCGUGGGGGGUAUUGCACAAUGGGCGGAAGCCUGAUGCAGCGACGUCGCGUGAGGGAUGGAGGCCUUCGGGUUGUGAACCUCUGUUUCCGGUGGUGAAGGCCCUGUCCGUGUGGUGGGGUUGACGGUAGCCGGGGAUGAAGCGCCGGCUAACUACGUG